AACGCACAUUGCGCUCCUUGGUAUUCCGGGGAGCACGCCUGUUUGAGAAUCAUUAAAAUCUAUCACCCUAGUUGGUGGACUUGAGCUGUUUCCCCCGCAAGGGAGAAUCGCUCGAAAUUGAAUGUCGAGAAAUCCCUCGGGACCCCUCCGUUCAGGAUUUCAAGCGCAUGAAAGAGUGUUUUCACUUUAUCUGGUUCGCUUGGUGACCUGCGGUGGUGAUGAGCGGGAGGUUUUGCGAACUGCUGGCGAGGCAACUCUGCUCGGCAACUAAGAUGCUUGGAGGCGGUAAGUUUCCGAGCUCUUGAACUCUUGGUCUCAAAUCAGGUGGGAAAACCCGCUGAACUUAA
rnacentral:misc_RNA from 1 species